GUGUAAUAUCCUUAUUUUAACCGAGUGUUUCAUAUAAAUUAAGAUUAAGUUCUUAGUUUAGGAAUAUGUGUAGAUUCAGUUUAGUUUUAUGAGUUUUCACACAUUAUUAAUGCUGUAACGGACACUGACGUCAAGUUACCAACGUCUCUCAACGGUCACUUUCCUCAGCUUCAUCCAUGACGUUAUUUUAAAAAACGGCACAGUGCAAACUGUGGUUCUGAAAAGCAGGAACAUGAUACCAAAAUGUGUUAAUUUACUUCAGGAGUGCGACAACAAGUAGGACUGAGAUGUAUCUACCCUUCUAAGUGCUGCUAACCACGACUUUCAGACUCUGCCACAAGCACCAGGUCAUCUAUAUCAAGUGGUCCAGCAACAACCUGAACAAACCUGCAAUGUCCUACAGGGAACAGCUCCCUGAUAUCCUGAUUUCAUCCCCGCUAUCAGAUGAAGAGAGGCUUCAGCAUCAUCCUGUCCUCACAUGUCCCAUCCAGGAACCUCUCCGGUCACAAUGGAUCACCGUGGAAAAACAACACCCACUCUUUAUCCCAGGACAGAAGAUUCAGGAUUGCUCAAGUGCUCGAUGACUCACAUCUGAACUUUCUGGGAAUGUUUGUGAGGCAGCAGAGUUCGGUCAGUCUCAGCAUGCUCAUAUCUUCCCCCAGCUGUGUCCUUGUCCUGAGUGUUGCAGUUUGACACACUCCACCUUCAGCACCUUUCAAAUUUAAAAAUGCUGCAUGUCGUGACAGAGAACAAAAUAAACAAAAUCUUAAACAGUGAUGACUAUUUUAAAGAAUAUUUAUCUGUACAAUGCUGAGAAUAAGAAUAAGCUCAGACUCCAAUCAAAGACAGUGUAAAGAGGGAAUCUCUCACCUUAAAUCAACAUGUGUUUAAUAAGAAGCCAUCAUAUAAUCACAUAAUCAUCGAGCUGUUUUACAGAAUGAGACACGCUCUGAUCUAUUUGAGGGAUUAUAUGCACCAAGAAGGUCUUACUUAUUAACCAAUCACAAUCAGUUAUUUUACUGCACUUUGUAUUAAAACAUGCACAUAACUGUAUUUUAGUUCCAGCUUCUCUUAUCUCUCCCUCACUGUCACACUGAGUCCUGCAGCCUGACACACUCCAGGUUCAACAAACUUCAGAGUGUUGUGCCAGGACAUGAAUACCUCUGAUAACUCUCUCCACAUUCUUCAUUUGUCAUCACGCCUGUCACAUCCUUCGUCGCACACAUCCAGUCUGUUAAUUUCCACACCUUUGUCCUGUGAUAUUACUUAACGCUGAGCAACAACAGGGUUCCGUUUUUCUGGUGUUGUGUAAGUGAGAAUGAUGCAGCGUGUGAUGUGGGUAGUGACACUAAUAGUUGCUAACUCAGCACUUUAUUGGCACAUGGUCACAUCUGAUUUCAAACAGAAUUUUCCAGGCUGAGUCGUCGGGUCACUGAUGACUGAUGACUGAUGUGUCACUUCCUCUGACUUCAACUGUUGCAUGCACAGAUUUUGAUUUUGAACUGAUUUUUGAUAAACUUUACCUUGAUCAACGUGUCGUCUUUGGCACCGUCGCUCUUGUGGCUGUUGCAGCAGUCAAAGUUCUUGAGCAUGGUGGGGAUGGUGAGGGGCAGAAGAAGCAGCCAGAUGAGGAUCGAGAUCUGAGGAGACUUCUUGAGAGCUCGCAGGAGAUUCUUCCGACCCGGGUGCACCACGUUAAAGUACCGAUCUAUGGAGGUCACGGUGAGGAAGGCGAUACUGGCUCCACGGUUCAGAAACAGCAUGAAGAGCAUGGCUUUGCACACCGUGUCGUCCGUGCUCCUCCGCUCUCCGUGGAUGAAGUUGUACGCCUUGAUGGGCAAGCAGAAGAGCAGCAGGAUGUCGGCCAACACCAGGUUGAAGAGGAAGACGUUGUUGGUGUUUGUUUUCCAGAACUUCAGCUUGAAGAUGAAGAGGUGGAGGACUGAGGCGUUCAGGGGCAACGCCAGGAUGAAAAUCACAAUCAUGACAGCUGCAUAGAACUUAUACAGCCCCUUGUGAGUGGCUUCACAGUCCUCAAUGAGCUGGAAGGUAGAGUUCGCCAUUUUUGCAGUCACAUGCAUUUGCAUCAAAACUUUAAGAUAUCACAAGUUGGAGUUAAAUCCGUCCUGCAUGCAAUGAGCAAAGUAAUCCUUUCUAUACUGAGGAGGAAAUCACUUCACAGAUCAGAAGUCUCACUCUACACACACACACACACACUGAAAAAUCCUGCCAAACAAGUUCCUUCACACUCGUACUCCUCUCUCUUCAGGUCUUGAAUUCUCCUCAAGUCCUCGUGCGUGUCUCUGCUUUCCCAAAGUCACUCUACUGUUUCUGUCCUGUGUUGUGAAAGCUGGAGAGGCAGUGAUCCCUCCAGAGAGCAGAGCGCAAUGAUAGUCUCCUUGCUGUGCAGCCCUGUGCUUAUAUUGUGGCUCCGCCUUUUAGCCUGAGGUGGUGAGUCACCAGCUGCUUUUUUUCUGCAAGAUCCAGCACCAGCCUAUAACAUUUACAUGACAACUACUCCAUUAGUUUGUUCAAACUGAAACUGAGACGGGUUAAACUUCAGACUCAGACGACUUUUAUGACUUUUAUUGAGGGGAGUUAGUCAGGAGAGCGGGCGCCGUGUGAAAACCCUGAUAAGCCAUUGAGUGGCUGAUCACUUUUGACUGACAGCCAAACAUAUGACAGAUGUUAUGGAAACAUUUCGCCUCCUCACAGAUAUUUCCUGGCGCAAUGUGAGAGUUUUCUAUUCUGAGGUCUCAAAGAAUCCCUGAAGCUACUGUCAGACCUUCAGUUUCUCAUGAAUGACAGCUUCCAAGGUUUCCUCCUGGAGCUCCCAGGCUUACUGUUUAAACUGCACGUGUUUUCCUGAUACCAGAAACAGACGAUUCCUCCUCAGAGUACGCAGACGUGGACCCCUGGGAUUGAAUGAUAUAUCCUUAAGUGCUGCUGUCAGUGUUUUAUACUAUGUAAGGACAAGUAAAUGGGGUUGCUAGGAAUGUUACAUCCUAAGGGAGGAGGAGAGAGGGGGGGUUAACCCGAGGACUCAAACUCAACUCUGCAUGCCUCAAACCGUGCAUGCUUCAAACUCCUUCUGUAUCUCAGCUGCAAGUCCAGACAACUCUGCAGGUUCAGGAGCUCUGCAGGGACACGUCAGGGAGGACGUGAACUCUCUUUAGGUCUGACUUUAUGAUUGAAAACACUCUGAGCGUUAGAGAUGAAGACGCCUCACGCCUCACACAGUAACCUACUUUAUGAAUCUUUGUUUGAACUGUCAGCGCUUCAGUGCCAGAGAGAUUUAAUACACAAGUUAGUUCUUAUCAGGAAGAGAGUUUCCAUAUCAACAGAUAUCAGCCUUUAGGGAAACAUUUGGCAUUUACUGAUUGCAGCAGCUGACGUAUUCGUCUGUCACAUCGCAUCAGUUUAAGAAUGGAGGAGAGGAAGUCCUGUGUUUCAGUUUACUGUAAGAGUUAUGCUUUAAGGAAACAAAGAGAAACCCGAUUUCACAUAAAAAAAACAGCUGAAUUUA